UUAUUCAUGCCAUAUGACCACAGAAAUACUACCCCAGAUGGAGCUUCUUCAUCUAAAAUGAAAGCAUUGGUGAAUGAUUUGAAUUAUCGGCACUUCCAAGGUCACUGCAUGACUGGUUCUGGGGGAGGCUCCGUUGGGUAUCUAGCACACGGUACUGCAACAGACUACAUUUAUGAGAUUGCAAAAGUUCCCAUGGCUUUCACUUUUGAGAUUUAUGGAGAUGAAUCCGCUUCAG